CUGUAGUUAUCUGUAGUUACCUGUAGUUUUCUGUAGUUAUCUGUAGUUUUCUGUAGUUUGAGAACAAAGUAAAGGCCCGUUCCUGUAUCAGACUCUCACAGUAGUUUUCUGUAGUUAUCUGUAGUUUGCUGUAGUUAUCUGUAGUUUCCUGUGUGUACCUGUAGUUUGCUGUAGUCUGAGAACAAAGUAAAGGCCCGUUCCUGUAUCAGACUCUUACAGUAGUUUGCUGUAGUUUGCUGUAGUUAUCUGUAGUUUCAUGUAGUUUCAUGUAGUUAUCUGUAGUUUGAGAACAAAGUAAAGGCCCGUUCCUGUAUCAGACUCUCACAGUAGUUAUCUGUAGUUUUCUGUAGUUAUCUGUAGUUUGCUGUAGUCUGAGAACAAAGUGAAGGCCCGUUUCUGUAUCAGACUCUUACAGUAGUUUUCUGUAGUUUCCUGUAGUUUGCUGUAGUUAUCUGUAGUUACCUGUAGUUUGCUGUAGUUAUCUGUAGUUACCUGUAGUUUGAGAACAAAGUGAAGGCCCGUUCCUGUAUCAGACUCUCACAGUAGUUAUCUGUAGUUGUCUGUAGUUUUCUGUAGUUACCUGUAGUUUGCUGUAGUUUGCUGUAGUCUGAGAACAAAGUAAAGGCCCAUUCCUGUAUCAGACUCUUACAGUAGUUUGCUGUAGUUUGCUGUAGUUAUCUGUAGUCAUCUGUAGUUUGCUGUAGUUUUCUGUAGUUAUCUGUAGUUUCCUGU